UACGUAGGGACCGAGCGUUGUCCGGAAUCAUUGGGCGUAAAGAGCGUGUAGGCGGCCCCUUAAGUCCUGCGUGAAAUCCUGCGGCUCAACCGCAGACGGUCGUGGGAAACUGGAGGGCUAGAGUGCGGGAGAGGAGAGUGGAAUUCCCGGUGUAGCGGUGAAAUGCGUAGAUAUCAGGAGGAACACCUGCGGUGUAGACGGCUUUCUGGACCAUUGUUGACGCUGAGACACGAAAGCGUGGGUAGCAAACAGG
rnacentral:rRNA from 1 species